rnacentral:rRNA from 1 species
AUUGAACGCUGGCGGCAGGCCUAACACAUGCAAGUCGAGCGGAGCGGCGGACGGGUGGGUAAGGCCUAGGAAUCUGCCUGGUAGUGGGGGAUAACGCCCGGAAACGGGCGCUAACACCGACUACUUGCACAUGACCAUGGGUCGGAGUAGCUAGUUGGUGGGGUAAAGGCCUACAAAGGCGACGAUCCGUAACUGGUCUGAGAGGAUGAUCAGUCACACUGGAACUGAGACACGGUCCAGACUCCUACGGGAGGCAGCAGUGGGGAAUAUUGGACAAUGGGCGAAAGCCUGAUCCAGCCAUGCCGCGUGUGUGAAGAAGGUCUUCGGAUUGUAAAGCACUUUAAGUUGGGAGGCGUUACCAACAGAAUAAGCACCGACUAACUUCGUGCCAGCAGCCGCGGUAAUUC